UUUUAAUCAUGAGUUGAGAUUUAUGCUUAUUUCUUGUCAAUCUCGAGAUCUUGAUAGUUAAAAUCAAUUCCUUCUUUUUAGGAUUGGAGAUCCGCCUCUCCUCCGUCUCUUCCCUUGGCUUCUUGCUUCUCCUAUUGUGGCUCAGGUAGAUCCUCCGCAUCGUCAAGUGGUCCAACCCAACCAAGUGACACCCACCAGCCCACCCGCUUGGUCAUCGGCCCAUUGCAUCCACAUGUCCGCUCCUCCCUGUCGAGCACACAAGCAACUCCUACUAGAUUCGAGUUUCUUG